AUUGAACGCUGGCGGCAUGCCUUACACAUGCAAGUCGAACGCGAAAGCGGGGCAACCCGCAAGUAGAGUGGCGAACGGGUGAGUAACACAUCGGAACGUGCCCAGUAGUGGGGGACAACCUCGAGAAAUCGAGGCUAAUACCGCAUACGACCCACGGGUGAAAGCGGGGGACCGCAAGGCCUCGCGCUAUUGGAGCGGCCGAUGUCCGAUUAGCUUGUUGGCGGGGUAAAAGCCCACCAAGGCGACGAUCGGUAGCUGGUCUGAGAGGACGACCAGCCACACUGGGACUGAGACACGGCCCAGACUCCUACGGGAGGCAGCAGUGGGGAAUUUUGGACAAUGGGGGCAACCCUGAUCCAGCCAUGCCGCGUGCGGGAAGAAGGCCUUCGGGUUGUAAACCGCUUUCGGCCGGAACGAAAUCGCACCCGUAAACAUCGGGUGUGGAUGACGGUACCGGAAGAAGAAGCACCGGCUAACUACGUGCCAGCAGCCGCGGUAAUACGUAGGGUGCGAGCGUUAAUCGGAAUUACUGGGCGUAAAGCGUGCGCAGGCGGUCUCGUAAGACAGGUGUGAAAUCCCCGGGCUCAACCUGGGAACUGCGCUUGUGACUGCGAGGCUGGAGUGCGGCAGAGGGAGGUGGAAUUCCACGUGUAGCAGUGAAA
rnacentral:rRNA from 1 species